GUGUUGUAUGAAAGGAAAGAAGGUUAGCACUCCCCUUGAUAAGAAUGGAAGAGGUCCUAGUGGCCUUUACAACACAUAUACCGUUAAGGCAUUGCCACCUACUCUGUGGCAUCUAAAAGGAACA